rnacentral:rRNA from 1 species
GGCGGACGGGUGCGUAACGCGUAGGAAUCUGCCUAUUAGUGGGGGGACAACGUGGUGAAAACCACGCUAAUACCGCAUACGCCCUACGGGGGAAAGCGGGGGAUCUUCGGACCUCGCGCUAAUAGAUGAGCCUGCGUUAGAUUAGCUAGUUGGUGAGGUAAUGGCUCACCAAGGCGACGAUCUAUAGUUGGUCUGAGAGGACGAUCAGCCACACUGGGACUGAGACACGGCCCAG